UACGAAGGGGGCUAGCGUUGCUCGGAGUCACUGGGCGUAAAGCGCACGUAGGCGGAUCUUUAAGUCAGGGGUGAAAUCCUGGAGCUCAACUCCAGAACUGCCUUUGAUACUGGGGAUCUCGAGUCCGGAAGAGGUGAGUGGAACUCCGAGUGUAGAGGUGAAAUUCGUAGAUAUUCGGAAGAACACCAGUGGCGAAGGCGGCUCACUGGUCCGGUACUGACGCUGAGGUGCGAAAGCGUGGGGAGCAAACAGG
rnacentral:rRNA from 1 species